rnacentral:rRNA from 1 species
UACGGGAGGCAGCAGGGGGAAGUAUUGCACAAUGGGCGCAAGCCUGAUGCAGCCAUGCCGCGUGUAUGAAGAAGGCCUUCGGGUUGUAAAGUACUUUCAGUCGUGAGGAAGGUGUUAAGGUUAAUAACCUUAGCAAUUGACGUUAGCGACAGAAGAAGCACCGGCUAACUCCGUGCCAGCAGCCGCGGUAAUACGGAGGGUGCGAGCGUUAAUCGGAAUUACUGGGCGUAAAGGGCACGCAGGCGGUUAAUUAAGUUGGAUGUGAAAUCCCCGGGCUUAACCUGGGAAUGGCAUUCAAGACUGGUUAGCUAGAGUCUUGUAGAGGGGGUAGAAUUCCAUGUGUAGCGGUGAAAUGCGUAGAGAUGUGGAGGAAUACCGGUGGCGAAGGCGGCCCCUGGACAAAGACUGACGCUCAUGUGCGAAAGCGUGGGGAGCAAACAGGGAUUAGAUA